rnacentral:rRNA from 1 species
AUUGAACGCUGGCGGCAUGCCUUACACAUGCAAGUCGAACGGCAGCACGGGAGCAAUCCUGGUGGCGAGUGGCGAACGGGUGAGUAAUAUAUCGGAACGUGCCCAGUCGUGGGGAUAACGUAGCGAAAGCUACGCUAAUACCGCAUACGAUCUAUGGAUGAAAGCGGGGGAUCGCAAGACCUCGCGCGAUUGGAGCGGCCGAUAUCAGAUUAGGUAGUUGGUGAGGUAAAGGCUCACCAAGCCGACGAUCUGUAGCUGGUCUGAGAGGACGACCAGCCACACUGGGACUGAGACACGGCCCAGACUCCUACGGGAGGCAGCAGUGGGGGAAUUUUUGGACAAUGGGCGCAAGCCUGAUCCAGCAAUGCCGCGUGCAGGAUGAAGGCCUCGGUUGUAAC